rnacentral:rRNA from 1 species
AUUGAACGCUGGCGGCAGGCCUAACACAUGCAAGUCGAGCGGAGCGGCGGACGGGUGCGUAAUGUCUGGGAAACUGCCUGAUGGAGGGGGGUAACUACUGGAAACGGGCGCUAAUACCGCAUACUAUCAGAUGAGCCUCGGUCGGAGUAGCUAGUUGGUGGGGUAAAGGCCUACCAAGGCGACGAUCCGUAACUGGUCUGAGAGGAUGAUCAGUCACACUGGAACUGAGACACGGUCCAGACUCCUACGGGAGGCAGCAGUGGGGAAUAUUGGACAAUGGGCGAAAGCCUGACCCAGCAAUGCCGCGUGUGUGAAGAAGGUCUUCGGAUUGUAAAGCACUUUAAGUUGGGAGGCGUUACCAACAGAAUAAGCACCGGCUAACUUCGUGCCAGCAGCCGCGGUAAUUC